UUGAUCAAAUGGGACGAGGUACUAUUUUUUCUGCACAUUAUUUCUCUCUAGACAUUGACCCAACACUACUAACUGUUAUAUUCACUUUUUUAGGUUCAUCCUGGAAAACCUUUUGAUGGUGAUGAUGCAGAGCAUAUGCAAUGGAUUUAUUCAGAGAUUGGCAAUGAUGCUUCUCAAUUUGUUGGUCCACUUGUAUUGAACCUGUUGAUAAAGGUAUGUUUCUCAUUCCAUGACUUCCCCCAUCGUUAACAUGACUAUUGAAGUGCAUUGAUGCGUUAACAUGACUAUUGAAGUGCAUUGAUCCUAGAACAUACUGUGCGAUUAUGCGUAUCUUAGCGCACCUUUAUUAUGUUCUUUGCACCAAUAUACUUUGUUUUUUCCUUUUCCGGUGUGAUGGUGAGAUCGACGUGGAGCUAAAGCACGUGAGGGAUGCUGUGGCGAAGAAAGGCCAGGCACUACACGAGGAGCAGGACAUGGUCAAGAAGGUCGCCCUUGCCACGCUCGACAUCCUCAGCGUCGGUGCUAGCCGUAGUGGACUCUCCUCCCGUGCGACCGCGGCAGCCAGCCACGGCCUGGCCCUAACAACUGUAGCAAGCAGCAGUCCCCGCUCGGCUGCCCCGGCACCUAGCCCCAGUAACUGUAGGCAGCGGCAGCGCGGUCGCCCCAGUGCCCUCCGCUCUCCCAACCGCCCUCCAAGACAAGUACGCUUCUAUGUUCUUAAAAAACUCUUCAUCGUAUCACAAAGCUCCCAGACACCACAUUGUUAAAUAGUACCUUAAAUUUC